rnacentral:rRNA from 1 species
UCUACGGGGUGCAGCAGUGGGGGAUAUUGCACAAUGGAGGAAACUCUGAUGCAGCGACGCCGCGUGAGGGAAGACGGUCUUCGGAUUGUAAACCUCUGUCUUUGGGGAAGAAAAUGACGGUACCCAAAGAGGAAGCUCCGGCUAACUACGUGCCAGCAGCCGCGGUAAUACGUAGGGAGCGAGCGUUGUCCGGAAUUACUGGGUGUAAAGGGAGCGUAGGCGGGCGAGAAAGUUGAAUGUUAAAUCUACCGGCUUAACUGGUAGCUGCGUUCAAAACUUCUUGUCUUGAGUGAAGUAGAGGCAGGCGGAAUUACUAGUGUAGCGGUGAAAUGCGUAGAUAUUAGGAGGAACACCAGUGGCGAAGGCAGCUUGCUAGGCCGGAUCUGACACUGAUGCACGAAAGCGUGGGGAUCGAACAGGAUUAGAUACCCUUGUAGUC